AGUGAACGCUGGCGGUGUGCUUAACACAUGCAAGUCGAACGAGAACGGACUAAAGUUACUUAGUUGUCAGCUAAGUGGCGCACGGGUGAGUAAUCUAUAGCUAACCUACCCUAAAGAGGGGGAUAAUUAAUGGAAACGUUUUGUAAUACCCUAUACCUCUUAUCUACACAAGUAUAUAAGAGAAACUUUAGUGCUUUAGGGAUGGGGCUGUAUUGUAUCAGCUAGUUGGUGGUGUAAUGGACCACCAAGGCUAUGACGCAUAACUGGUUUGAGAGGAUGAUCAGUCACACUGGAACUGAGACACGGUCCAGACUCCUACGGGGAGGCAGCAGUGGGGAUAUUGCACAAUGGGGAACCCUGAUGCAGCAAC
rnacentral:rRNA from 1 species